GCAUGAUACACCUCGAUGUGUAGUUUAAUGUUGCUUUUAGGAUCAAAAGACGUGCUUUGGAUCUAACCUCUUCGAACUGAACCACUUCUGGAACUAUUAAAUGCUACGUAUGAAACUCAGUUGUUUGGGUAAAAAAUGAAUGCUAUUUCUACGAAUCAGGAUAGAACAAGCAAUCGGAAACAAGAAAAGGCAGGGACAGCCCUGACACGAAUGAUCGAAACUACAACAGGUUUGUUGAUUUAUGAAUGGUGUAUAUAUUAUCGUAAAUACAGUCGAUAUAAAACAUCUUCGUGUUUUCCGCGCAUGAUAAUCAUGUAGAGAUGUAUAAACGUGUUGCCUUAUCAGUAGUAAAAUCGCGUAUAAAAAAAACGGGUUAUAGGAUGAACUUACACUUACUCCGCGAGAGCAGUCGUUCCACGUGUUACAGGUUCAAGCUUAAUUUCGAUUAUUAUUCCCGAAGUCGUACAUGACAAUCCUUGAAAGGAAGCGCACUCGUUAAGACGUUACCACGCUAUUGAGCGCAAUGAUCUUACGUAAAACGAUCGUACGCGCUCGUGUAAGAUUCACCGAAAGCUCAGCUUCGUCAGGGGAUUCCCUAUAAGAAUCCCUUCGAUUCCCCACUUUCAGGGAAUUAAUUUUCUACACACGGGAUAAACGAGAACGAUACAAAAAGAAGAAGAGAAAGAAGAUGAUGAAGAAGAAAAGGAAAAGGCAUCCUGAAAAAUACUAUUUACCCCCCGAGAACAAGUCGACUCCCAGCGACUACACCAUCCUUUCUGAAUCGAUGAUGCAAUCCCAGAUGACCUCCCAAAAAUUGAGCCAGGCUGUUAUCAAUUCACCAACUAAACUGCUGCAGUAUCAUCCGUGUUACGCAACAACGCGGCUGCUUUGACAACGUCGCCGCCACACUGAUUCAGCAUCACCUUGCAAUCUUCAAGGCCAACAAAGUUGUUCUCUUUCUUCAACAGACCUUGGAGCCGCUCCAGCUUUAUUGCCGCCAAGACGUCCCAGUCGGUGACGUUCAAGGCUGCAAUGCAGGACUCCGGCGUGGAUUGUUCGUGCAACACUUUCAUCAUGAUCCUGACUUCGUCCGAUUGCUCUCCGUUCCGCGGACCACGUGUUCUCCUCGCAUUAGGACCAUCGCAAGCGAACUCUAACAAGUCCUCGCAGCUAACAUGAUCUGACUGACGAGAGAGAUCGCUGGUACGACCCGGUACCUUCUCGCUGGACAACCUGUUAUAUAUCUUGGACGCAGAAUGGAAACUGUCGGUUGGCUCAACAGUGGAAGACUCUUUAGGCAGCAUGCCUUCAGAUUGCUGUUUACCCUUCUGCGAAUUAUUCUCAGAGUAUUCCCCGUAGUCGAAGUGCAUCAUAUAGUUGGAAGGCCUCUGGACCAAGAUGGUUCUGCUGGGUUGGAGUUUGCUAGAGGCAGCCGAGUCUUCGGACUUGUUCGAUCCUGUCGGAGUGGAGUUCCUGCUGGUCUCAGCGAUCUCGCUCUCUUGGACACACUUGGAGGUUGAACUUCGUAAAGAAGACUUGGACUCCACGCUGAUCUUCCUCUGUAGACGCUCUGUUGACGAGUUUGUCGACUGUAUAUCGCUCUCCUGCAUAUUCUGCCGGUAUUCCGUACUGUCGCAGUCUAUCAGGUUAUCGGAGAACUCGAGCAGGUCCUCGGAAAUCACGCUGAAACGGUGGAGUCUAUUUUCGUCGGUUGGCAACGAGUCCAACGCUGCCAGCUCGGAGUCUAUACGUUGUUCAAACUCUUCAGGGCUAUAAGUAAAAGUAUACCAUAUAAUAAAUUGCAACAUGUUACUUUAAA